rnacentral:rRNA from 3 species
CCUGGUGCCUAUGGCGGUGUGGAACCACUCCGACCCAUCCCGAACUCGGUUGUUAAACGCACCUGCGGCAAAGAUACUUUGGGGGUCGCCCCACGGGAAAAUAGCUCGGUGCCAGGU